rnacentral:rRNA from 1 species
UUGCUUCCUUUGACGUUAGCGGCGGACGGGUGAGUAACACGUGGGCAACCUACCUUAUAGUUUGGGAUAACUCCGGGAAACCGGGGCUAAUACCGAAUAAUCUAUUUUACUUCAUGGUGAAAUACUGAAAGACGGUUUCGGCUGUCGCUAUAAGAUGGGCCCGCGGCGCAUUAGCUAGUUGGUGAGGUAACGGCUCACCAAGGCGACGAUGCGUAGCCGACCUGAGAGGGUGAUCGGCCACACUGGGACUGAGACACGGCCCAGACUCCUACGGGAGGCAGCAGUAGGGAAUCUUCCACAAUGGGCGAAAGCCUGAUGGAGCAACGCCGCGUGAGUGAAGAAGGUUUUCGGAUCGUAAAACUCUGUUGUAAGGGAAGAACAAGUACAGUAGUAACUGGCUGUACCUUGACGGUACCUUAUUAGAAAGCCACGGCUAACUACGUGCCAGCAGCCGCGGAAAUACGUAGGUGGCAAGCGUUGUCCGGAAUUAUUGGGCGUAAAGCGCGCGCAGGCGGUCCUUUAAGUCUGAUGUGAAAGCCCACGGCUCAACCGUGGAGGGUCAUUGGAAACUGGGGGACUUGAGUGCAGAAGAGGAAAAGUGGAAUUCCAAGUGUAGCGGCGAAAUGCGUAGAGAUUUGGAGGAACACCAGUGGCGAAGGCGACUUUCUGGUCUGUAACUGACGCUGA